rnacentral:tRNA from 1 species
AUUUGAGUAAUUUAAAUUAAAAUAUAACACUGAAGAUGUUAAGAUGAUAAUAUUUAUCCUUAAAUA